rnacentral:misc_RNA from 1 species
ACAGCCCACCUGCAAUUUUGAAUCUAUAUCAGUCUGCCUAAGAAUAGUGCCUCAACAGUUGUCUUUGGUCUUACUUUUUCUUUUUCCCUUCUUUUGGAUAGUUGCAUCAAUAGACAUCUUGUAUACAGCAUUAACACCCUACUUUUUAUUUAAUACUUUACAAUUGCUGAGAAAGAGAGAGAGAGAAUGAAGAUAAAAGUUGCAACAUCCCCACAUGUCACCAUAAUAAGUAUUACAACAAGCCCCACAUCAAGCAGGUAAAUUACAUUGAAGAGACUAAACUAAACACUAAUCUUUAAAAUAUAACCAUAAAGACUCUUAACCCAA